ACGGAGAAAGCGAUAGUGGCGACAAACAAGAAGCUACGGUGCUUCGUUUUCAUGGAACCCUUGCCCUCGGAUUGGUUAGCAUUCGCUGUCACCGCCAACAAGCUUUUCAAACUGUGAUUUUCAUAACUGAAGUUAAACUCAAGAGCUUUUCACCUGAUUUUUGAGAAUUCAAGGUAUCAAAGAUGUCUUCCGUUCCCAUAAGUUCAGCUUUUGUAAGGAGGCAGAUAAAUCCCGUAAAACCAGAGACGAAAACAGAAACCACAAACGAAAACAAGCAAGCUAUUGUGCAACAAAGACAGCCAUUCUUCAAUUCAUUCUUUACAAGCUACAAAGAUUGGAGAGAAGUCGGAAAAGACGUUAGGACUUGAGCACUGGAGGUCCUUCUCAAUGUCAUCAACCUGGGAUUGCACAUCGCACUAAAUCCUUUUUGAGGAUUUCUCAUUGACGACUAAUUACAAUCGAUCACGCCAAGCUGCACGCGCGGUACAUCAGGAAUUGUUGAGAUGUCAGUAGAGGGAGCAUGAAUAAUUUGGUUAUUACCUAACUGCCUCAAACGAUACAUUCAAGUGUUACAGACGUUUGCAUGGCAAAAUAUCUCAAAGAAGCCGUCAAUACCUUGUCUAGACUAAGUAACGUAAAAGCACAAAUACUCCUAAUUGUUCCUGUUCGCAUUGAUUGUAAAUGUUUGAUCGACAGAAGGAAAGUCUUGUGCUACUCUACAAAUGGAAGGUAUAGAUCUAUAUUAUGAGAAUUUUAUCAAUAAAAUUUACGUUUCCUA